GCCAGACUCCUACGGGAGGCAGCAGUGGGGAAUAUUGCACAAUGGGGGAAACCCUGAUGCAGCGACGCCGCGUGAGUGAAGAAGUAUUUCGGUAUGUAAAGCUCUCUCAGCAGGGAAGAAAAUGACGGUACCUGAUUAAGAAGCCCCGGCUAACUACGUGCCAGCAGCCGCGGUAAUACGUAGGGGGCAAGCGUUAUCCGGAUUUACUGGGUGUAAAGGGAGCGUAGACGGCAGCACAAGUCUGGAGUGAAAUCCCGGGGCUUAACCCCGGAACUGCUUUGGAAACUGUGCGGCUGGAGUGCAGGAGGGGUAAGCGGAAUUCCUGGUGUAGCGGUGAAAUGCGUAGAUAUUAGGAGGAACACCAGUGGCGAAGGCGGCCUGCUGGACGAUGACUGACGUUGAGGCUCGAAAGCGUGGGGAGCAAACAGGAUUAGAUCCCCUGUAA
rnacentral:rRNA from 1 species